GUGUCAGCCGCCGCGGUAAGACAGAGGUGGCAAGCGUUGUUCGGAUUUACUGGGCGUAAAGGGUGCGUAGGUGGUGCGGUAAGACCUGUGGGAAAGCCCGGGGCUUAACCCCGGAAGGUCGCAGGUGACUGCCGUGCUUGAGGACGGGAGAGGAGAGCGGAAUUCCCGGUGUAGCGGUGAAAUGCGUAGAGAUCGGGAAGAAGGCCGGUGGCGAAGGCGGCUCUCUGGAACGUUCCUGACACUGAGGCACGAAAGCGUGGGGAGCAAACAGGAUUAGAAACCCGUGUAGUCC
rnacentral:rRNA from 1 species